rnacentral:rRNA from 1 species
GACGAACGCUGGCGGCGUGCUUAACACAUGCCAGUCGAACGGUGAAGCGCCUUCCUUUUUGGUGGGUGUGGAUGAGUGGCGAACGGGUGAGUAACACGUGAGUAACCUGCCCCCUUCUUCUGGAUAACCGCAUGAAAGUGUGGCUAAUACGGGAUAUUCUGGGUCUGUCGCAUGAUGGGUCUGGGACAGAUAUUGUUUCGGUGGGGGCUGGGCUCGCGGCCUAUCAGCUUGUUGGUGGGGUGAUGGCCUACCCAGGCGGUGACGGGUAGCCGGCCUGAGAGGGUGGACGGUCACACGGGGAAUGAGACACGGCCCAGACUCAGACGGGAGGCAGCAGGGGGGAAUAAUGCACAAUGGGCGCAAGACUGAUGCAGCGACGCCGCGUGAGGGAUGGAGGCCUUCGGGUUGUGAACCUCUUUCGCCAGUGAAGCAGGCCUGCCUCGUAUGUGGGUGGGUUGACGGUAGCUGGAGAAGAAGCGCCGGCUAACUACGUG